AAGUCGUAACAAGGUCUCCGUUGGUGAACCAGCGGAGGGAUCAUUAAAAGAAGCCGAAAGGCUACUUAAAACCAUCGCGAACACGUCCAAGUUGCUUCGGCGGCGCGGGGCCCCUUCCCGGGGCGCCGCUGCCCUCCGCCCCCGGGUCUCCGGGAGGUGCGGGGCGCCCGCCGGAGGUACGAAACUCUUAUGUAUCACAGUGGCAUCUCUGAGUGAAAAACAAAUAAGUUAAAACUUUCAACAACGGAUCUCUUGGUUCUG
rnacentral:misc_RNA from 1 species